rnacentral:rRNA from 1 species
CCUACGGGGGGCAGCAGUGAGGAAUAUUGGUCAAUGGACGAGAGUCUGAACCAGCCAAGUAGCGUGAAGGAUGAAUGCCCGAUGGGUUGUAAACUUCUGUUAUAAGGGAAUAAAAUGUUCCACGUGUGGGAUUUUGUAUGUACCAUAUGAAUAAGGAGCGGCUAACUCCGUGCCAGCAGCCGCGGUAAUACGGAGGAUCCGAGCGUUAUCCGGAUUUAUUUGGUUUAAAGGGAGCGUAGGUGGAUUGUUAAGUCAGUUGUGAAAGUUUUCGGCUCAACCGUAAAAUUGCAGUUGAAACUGGCAGUCUUGAGUUCAUUAGCGGUGGGCGGACUUCGUGGUGUAGCGG